AACGGACGCUGGCGGCAUGCCUAACACAUGCAAGUCGAACGAGACCUUCGGGUCUAGUGGCGCACGGGUGCGUAACGCGUGGGAAUCUGCCCUCUGGUACGGAAUAACUCAGGGAAACUUGAGCUAAUACCGUAUAAUGACUUCGGUCCAAAGAUUUAUCGCCUGAGGAUGAGCCCGCGUAGGAUUAGCUUGUUGGUGAGGUAAAAAGCUCACCAAGGCGACGAUCCUUAGCUGGUCUGAGAGGAUGAUCAGCCACACUGGGACUGAGACACGGCCCAGACUCCUACGGGAGGCAGCAGUGGGGGAAUAUUGGACAAUGGGCGAAAGCCUGAUCCAGCAAUGCCGCGUGAGUGAUGAAGGCCUUAGGGUUGUAAAGCUCUUUUACCCGGGAAGAUAAUGACUGUACCGGGAGAAUAAGCCCCGGCUAACUCCGCG
rnacentral:rRNA from 1 species